AUGCCGCGUGCAGGAAGACUGCCCUAUGGGUUGUAAACUGCUUUUAUACAGGAAGAAACACUCUCACGUGUGAGAGCUUGACGGUACUGUAAGAAUAAGGAUCGGCUAACUCCGUGCCAGCAGCCGCGGUAAUACGGAGGAUCCAAGCGUUAUCCGGAAUCAUUGGGUUUAAAGGGUCCGUAGGUGGAUAAUUAAGUCAGAGGUGAAAUCCUGCAGCUCAACUGUAGAAUUGCCUUUGAUACUGGUUGUCUUGAGUUAUUAUGAAGUAGUUAGAAUAUGUAGUGUAGCGGUGAAAUGCAUAGAUAUUACAUAGAAUACCAAUUGCGAAGGCAGAUUACUAAUAAUAUACUGACACUGAUGGACGAAAGCGUGGGGAGCGAACAGGAUUAGAUACCCUGGUAGUCCACGCCGUAAAC
rnacentral:rRNA from 1 species